GAAGCUGCUGUGUGGUUCUCUGGAGAGUCCACACUGUAGACUGGAGACUCUGAGACUGAGCAGCUGUAACCUCUCAGAGAGAAGCUGUGAAGCUGUGUCCUCAGUUCUCAGCUCCCAGUCCUCUAGUCUGAAACACCUGGACGUGAAUAACAACGACCUGCAGAAUUCAGGGGUGAAGCUUCUGUCUGCUGGACUUGAGAGUCCACACUGUUCCCUGGAGACUCUCAGGCUGUCAGGAUGUCUGAUCACAGAGGAAGGCUGUGCUUCUCUGGCCUCAGCUCUGAACUCC